ensembl:lncRNA
CUAGGCACUGCAUUUAAUAUGGCAUAUUUAUUAUGUCUAUUAUUAUUGUAAUCUGGACUUCUUCAGCUUUGGUUACAUGAAUAAUACAGCAUCAAAAAAGAAGUUUUUUAAGAGGUGCUUUUAUAUAUAGAUAGAUAAAGAUAGCUUGCUCUGAUUCAUCUGCUAAAAAUUGCUGCUGCUCCUUGUUUGUUUGUUUUGUUCAAGCAGAAAUCGCUGGGCAAGAUGAAUGCCAGGAAUGGGAAUACAGGAUAAGCCUAAAUUUCACAACUUCUUGUCAUGCUGGAAGGUUGCUGUCAAAACUUUGGUGCAGGUCUGGAAUUUGCUUAGAAACGAAGUCGCUGCUCCGGGGUGAGUGCAGCAGCCGAGCACAGCCAGGCAGGGAGGCAGGGAAGAGCAUCUGGCCCAUCCAGGGAUGAGUGAAGGUCAGCUUGCCUCCUCCAGGGGAAGGCUGCAGGGACUGGAGCAGGAGCUGUGCAGCCCCCACAAGCCAGAAUCUGGAGAGGAAUGUCCCCCUGCACAGCUGAAAUUUGGGUGGUUUGAAGGAGCCCUGUGAUGAGUGUUUUACCUUGUGCCAUAUGAGGGUGUCAAUCGUUGUGCCUGUUCUUCUGACCAGGUGCAGAGGUUUCUCUGGUGGGGAUCAGGGUUUGGAGUGGGCAGCCAGAACAGAAAAGAGACACCAAAAAUCCUUCAGGCUGUAAAAAUGACCCUUGGGCAGGCAAAUGUCUCACUCUGAAGUAUAGGUGGAGGUAUUGCUGCUGGAGCUGCACCUCCUGACUACAUUUUUGGCCAACUUCUGCAUAGCUCUGAGGCAGGGAGAGACACAAAGCCUUCCCAAGCCACAGCACAGUGCACAGCAAUGAGCUCCAGCUCUGCUCUCCAUCCCUGCAGCUCUGUUUGCACCUGACAGGUGUUGCCACAUCCACAGCCUGUGGUCUCCUGGUCCCUCACAUGUCACAACAGAGGACAAGCAGCCAGCAGUGGAGCUGGGAGCAGCAUCAGAUCUCCAGAUCUGGUGUAGAUCUGGGCUUCACCUUCUGUAGAGAUCUUGGGAUCUGGUCCCAGUCACAGACAGGAAUCCAGACUGGCUGCUCUGGGCAUUGCUGGUGAUGUGUCAGAGUGGUUGUUCAGCUCUGCACGGACACAGCCAUUAUCAAAGUCGUGUCCCAGUAGUCAGUUGGAUCCUACCUUGGUGGAAAUAAAACCAGUGCUUUGACUGUAGCUUCACAGAGGGUAAGCCAUAAAUUAAAAAUACUAAGGAAAUGGCUGUAACAAACACUUGACAUCCAUCAUAAGGGACAAGAUAUGUCUUAACCCACUAAAACAUUAUUUGGUUUUUUUCCUCAAGGGCCAAAACACCGCUCUUCUGCAUGAGAUAUAUGUGUCAUUGGAUAUGUGUGUAUCCCUAAAUUUAAUUUGUCCAAUUGCAUUAGGACAAGCAGCUAAUUCCAAAAUUCAUUUUGUUCCCAUAAUCAACCCUUCUGCCAAAUGGCAUUUGGGUGGAAUUGUGGAGAUUGUGAUUUUUAUUUAAAGUGAUUUAUUGAAAUCAUUAGCAAUGUUCCCUAAGUGGAAUCCAUGGCAAUCCUUUUAAUCUUCCCCCCAUCACAGUAAAUGCAAACAUUUUUUUUUAAUAAUAGAGAGAUUGAAAUAUUAGGUUAUUAAAAUCCACACUUGUGUAUCUCUCCAUGCUCUCUCCCUCUGUAAUGGGUUGGAAACCAUAACUGUGGAAAUAAAGGCUCCCUUUCAGGCCGGAGAUGCAGAGAGUGUGUAAUGAACAGUUAAGCAUCUAUUUAGUCACUUUGCAUUGAUAAGGGUGUUAAUGAAAAUGGAAAGAGCCAACUUUAUUUCCGCUGCAGGGAAAUACAGAUGUUGGGGGAGUAUUUUUUUGGUAUUGCCCUAAGCCCUUUUAAUGGAGUCAGUGUCUGCAGCAGAACUCAGAGCUUCCCCAAGUGCUCUUCCAGCCUCUUCCCACAAGUACUCAAUGGAGGCCUAGGAAACUGAGGGGGUUUGCCCUGUGUCCCACUGGAGCAAGGUCUGGGCUGUUGUCACCAGCUGUCCCCAGGCACACAGAGAGCUGCCCCUGUUGCCUUCAGCUCUAACUAAUCUCCCCAGGUACACACACCUUUGCAAACCCUUUGCCUCUAAUCACUCAGCUCCAUCCCCUCCUGGAAUGGAGGGGUACAACACCGUGGGAGCCUGCCUGGGACAGUCACAGCCAAAGCCAGGCACAGGGCUGGGUCAGCCUGGACCAGAUGCGCUCCUGUUCCCUCUGGUUGAUGCGCUGGUGCCAUGGCAACUGCUAACACCAAACAGCUGUGGGGAAAGGACAGCUUUGGAGCAGCUUUGGCGCCCAGUGACCACUGGCCAUGUCCUGGGGGUUGUUCUUUCCUCCUAAGAACCCCAGGCAAAGGAUGUGCCUCUGAGCAGAGCAAAGCCAGACUGCACUGUGCCACCCCAGCGCAGAGCCCAAAACUCACUUCACAUUGAAAAGUUCCUAUAAAAAAUAAUACUGCCCUAUUUUCCAUCUUGGAAGGAUAAAAUCUGGUGUGGGAGGACCGAGAAUCUGACAGAGGAGCCAUUUGCCCUUAGCUCCUGACUCCUGUCCUGGCCCUCAAAGCAUCUCUUCAUGCUCUGGAGGCAGAGCAGCAGCUCCAGCCCUGGACAUCAAGAUGCUGGGGCAGGGGACAUCAGGACCUAUCCCAUUGCAGGAUAUGUAUCCAUGCAGCUGCACAGAUAUUCUUCUCUAACCAGUCACAGCUCUGUCACUUGUGAGAAGAAAUUUUAGGAUGCUGUUUAAUGGUCCUGGGCACCAGAAGUGACUGUGACAUGGUCCAUGCACAUUCCAGGGAGGACAGAAGAGCUUUUUCCUCCACAUUUUCUUUGCUUCUGGGCUGUCAAAUCAAUCUGUCCAUCAUCGAGCCAAACCCUGGUGAUAUCUCCUGGUACAGGAGAUGUUGCCAUUUUAUUCUAUACUCUUCCAACCCCCAGGCAGCUGGCAGGAUUGCUGCUGGCUGGUAGCACACACACACACACACACACACACACACACAUACACAGACACAGAUACACACACACAAAGUUAAUCUUUUGCUAUUAUUUCUCGGAAGCUCCAUUUGGCUGCUUUCAGGCUUAUUGUGGUGAUUU